rnacentral:rRNA from 1 species
UACAGAGGGUGCAAGCGUUAAUCGGAAUUACUGGGCGUAAAGCGUGCGUAGACGGUUACAUAAGUCAGAUGUGAAAGCCCCGGGCUCAACCUGGGAAUUGCAUUUGAGACUGAAUAGCUAGGGUGCGGUAGAGGGAAGCGGAAUUUCCGGUGUAGCGGUGAAAUGCGUAGAUAUCGGAAGGAACAUCAGUGGCGAAAGCGGCUUCCUGGACCAGCACCGACGUUCAGGCACGAAAGCGUGGGGAGCAAACAGG